rnacentral:misc_RNA from 1 species
GAUGAAGAACGUAGCGAAAUGCGAUAAGUAGUGUGAAUUGCAGAAUUCAGUGAAUCAUCGAAUCUUUGAACGCACAUUGCGCCCUUUGGUAUUCCAAAGGGCAUGCCUGUUCGAGCGUCAUUUGUACCCUCAAGCUUUGCUUGGUGUUGGGCGUCUUGUCUCUAGCUUUGCUGGAGACUCGCCUUAAAGUAAUUGGCAGCCGGCCUACUGGUUUCGGAGCGCAGCACAAGUCGCACUCUCUAUCAGCAAAGGUCUAGCAUCCAUUAAGCCUUUUUUUCAACUUUUGACCUCGGAUCAGGUAGGGAUACCCGCUGAAUUUAAGCAUAUCAAUAAGCGGAGGA